rnacentral:rRNA from 1 species
CGAACGCUGGCGGCAUGCCUAACACAUGCAAGUCGAACGAGGUCCGGAGCUUGCUCCGGGUGCCUAGUGGCGGACGGGUGAGUAACGCGUGGGAACCUGCCCUAGAGUGGGGAACAACCUUUGGAAACGAAGGCUAAUACCGCAUACGCUCUGAGGAGGAAAGGCUUCGGCCGCUCUUGGAUGGUCCCGCGUCUGAUUAGCUUGUUGGUGGGGUAACGGCCUACCAAGGCGACGAUCAGUAGCUGGUCUGAGAGGAUGAUCAGCCACACUGGGACUGAGACACGGCCCAG